UGUCAAUGACGUUGAUUAGCUGCGUAAAUACCAUUAUAUACAGUCUAUGGUAAAUACGUAUGUGAAUCGCAUCAUUGGCUGCAGCAGCCAGUCACCGGUCACUCACUGACUCACACUGAAAAAUAGCACAGAAUUUUAUUUACAAUUUAGGUUGGAUUUUUUGUGUGUGUGCGCAGCGCAGAUUUUCUGUGCACGGAGAGCUUGUCAGCAGUGCGCACGCGCGCAGCUUAGAGGGAACAGUGCUCCAGCUCAUCAGCUCUUCCUGCCCUGAGAAGAUCCGACCACCUCCAGCCUGUACAGACCUGCAGACAGAGACAGCCAGCUGUGAGCCAGACUGUGAGGAGAUGUUCUGAUGAGGCUCUGAAGGACUGUGAGGUUCUCUGAUGGUCAGGAUUAGAACAUUAACAGCUCCGUCAACAUUUGUGUGGAAACAUCGAACCCACUAGGACUGUACAAUGUUCCUCCGGCAAUAAACCUUGGAUCUCUCUGGACAUAAAGACUCUUCUUGAGGAGAAGAGGCCUUUGGAUCAGGAAGCAAAUAGAAGCUGGAGGUUGUUCAGGGAGAGAGGAGGUGGAGAGUCAGGGAGGAAGAAGAGGAUCAAGACUCUGACAGGAGGAGCAGCAGAACAUCAGCAGGGUCUGGAGAGAAAAUAAACAUCUCUGGCCACGAGAAACCCACAAAGAGACAACAAAGAUCGGGGAGUUGAACCUUUUCUUCAACAGCAUCACAGAGGAGGAAAGUCACGUGAUUCAUCCGUCUAUAAACCUGAAGCCUCCGACAGUCUGAGACACAAUCAGACAGAAACUCUGAAGCCUCCGUCUGGUCCUGAAGCCUCCGUCUGGUUCUGCCAAUCUGGUCCAUCUGUUUUUUAGUACAAUACCAAACAAAGCUGUGAAUUACGGAUAUCUUGGACUUUUUAAAAUUCUGCAAUAUCUAUUGUACUUACAGACAAGUCUGUCCAAUAUUAAUACUUCGUGUCCUAUACUGUAAUGAAUAUAUCAGAUAAAUCUAAACCAGUACUUCUCCAUAUUUUUGGUGUAUUUUU
ensembl:lncRNA